AACGAGCGCUGGCGGCGUGCUUAACACAUGCAAGUCGAACGAGAACGGGUUAUAGUUUACUAUAACUGUCAGCUAAGUGGCGCACGGGUGAGUAAUAUAUAGGUAACGUGCCCUAGAGAGAGGGAUAACGUUUGGAAACGGACGCUAACACCUCAUAUGCCUUUAAGACAAAAGUCUGCAAGGGAAACAUUUAUGGCUCUAGGAUGGGACUGUACGGUAUCAGUUAGUUGGUGAGGUAAUGGCUCACCAAGACAAUGACACCUAACUGGUUUGAGAGGAUGAUCAGUCACACUGGGACUGAGACACGGCCCAG
rnacentral:rRNA from 1 species